AGUGGGGCUCAGGUGAGCACACGGGGAGAAAGGGACAUGGGCGGGGCCUUAAAGACGGCCAGCGAAUCCGAAAAGACCUAAGCCUUCGUUGCUGGGCGACAAGUCCCGCCCCGCAGGCGGCACCGGAAGUGGCAGGCCGGGAUCAGCCUUUAAGAUGGCGUCUCCUCAGGGGGGCCAGAUUGCGAUCGCGAUGAGGCUUCGGAACCAGCUCCAGUCAGUGUACAAGAUGGACCCGCUACGGAACGAGGAGGAGGUACGAGUAAAGAUCAAAGACCUGAAUGAGCACAUCGUCUGCUGUCUGUGUGCCGGCUACUUCGUGGAUGCCACCACCAUCACAGAGUGUCUUCAUACUUUCUGCAAGAGUUGUAUUGUGAAGUACCUCCAAACCAGCAAGUACUGCCCCAUGUGCAACAUCAAGAUCCACGAGACACAGCCACUGCUCAACCUCAAACUGGACCGGGUCAUGCAGGACAUUGUGUACAAGCUAGUGCCUGGCUUGCAAGACAGUGAAGAGAAACGAAUUCGAGAAUUCUACCAGUCCCGAGGACUGGACCGUGUCACCCAGCCCAGUGGGGAAGAGCCAGCCCUGAGCAACCUUGGCCUCCCCUUUAGCAGCUUUGACCACUCCAAAGCCCACUACUAUCGCUAUGAUGAGCAGCUGAGCCUGUGUCUGGAGCGGCUGAGUUCUGGCAAAGACAAGAAUAAAAGCGUCCUGCAGAACAAAUAUGUCCGAUGUUCUGUUAGAGCUGAGGUUCGCCAUCUCCGAAGGGUCCUGUGUCACCGCUUGAUGCUAAAUCCCCAGCAUGUGCAGCUCCUUUUUGACAAUGAAGUGCUCCCUGAUCACAUGACCAUGAAGCAGCUAUGGCUCUCCCGCUGGUUCGGCAAGAAAUCCUCUGAGUUUCAUCAAGAAGGAGGGCCUUGCUAUGUCCGUGGCCCCCAGCGAAUUGCCAGAGGAGAGGGGUAGAGGACCCUACACAUGUAAGACUCAGAAGGUGAGCUAAGUGAAACCAGGCCACCCGCACCAGCUCUUUUUGGUGAAGGGAAGGCUUUCUGGAGGGGAGCUCUCGUGGUCCUUGAGUGUUGCAGCAUGUGACACAGUCCUGAGUGAAGGUGUCGUAAUUCAGGAGUGGCGAGAGUAGGGCUAGGGUUGGACAGUGGCCACUGCAGGACUGAAGAACAGUGAUAUGUUAAAGAACAAUCUAAACAAUUACACUAUGGGAGGAGUCUUAAAAUUGGUGGAGGGGGGAGCGGGUGUCGUGGGGAGCAUGCGGGAUAGUCAGCGUUGGAGACCUGGCUGUCCAGACAAGGUUCAGCAAGCCUUCAGGUACCUGGGCUAGGUGAAGUCAGAGUGGGGAGAGGGAGGUUGAGGAAGAGAGGAGCUGGUGCCCGGGAGAGCAAAGGCAGCUUCAAGGAACAGCAGGAAGCAGCAGGGCUAGACCUCCGUUGGUUAAUUCAGCAAACAUCCCUUGUCUAUAUGAGCCCGGCCGUGAGCACUGGGCUCUGCAAAUAAACCCAGCCAGUAUCUCUCUCCACAGACCUCUCAGUGGGGUAGCCAGAAACGUGCCCAACUGGGACAGUAACAGAGGGAGACUGGAGGCCAAAGUAAGGAGUUUGUGAAGGACGUGAUGGGCUGCUGCUGAAUCCGGACAAGCGGGAUGGAGCAGGCAGCAUAAAUGUCACCAAAACCUAAGUUUAAAACCUAAAUCUCUUGCUGGUUGAAGUCUGACUCCACGAAUUCAGUGGGGUCAUUGUGCAUAGCUGGUGAGGGCUGAAGGCACCAAGCUUCCACUUGGAGAUCAGGUGGCAGAGGACUUGGAGGGGGGCGUAUAGUGAAGGAGCCAGGGACUUGAGGGACAAAAACCUAAGCUCGCGACAGGUGUGCAGUCUGCCUGGGCUUCUCCCCCAACAGAUGAAGCUUUUAGGCCAAGAGAAAGGCACAUGUGAAGAAGAGCCCUGGGAUGCGCUGGGCAGGCAACAGGGAUGGGGUGGGGACACCGCAGAGCUGCUGGCCUGGCACAAUUCCUUCCUGAAAUGAUCUCCAAGAUUCCUAAGGCUUCCCAUGUUUAGGGCCUCAGGCCUGGACUGCCUCUCCCCCUCACCCCAUACUCAGCUGUCUGUGAAAGCCUAAGUGACACCUCCUCCAGGAAACCCUCACCAGAAUCGGGCUUCUUCCAUUGCUUUUGGGCCAGUCUCUACACCAGCAUAUAACUCGGGGGUUUUGAUUAAUUAUAUCUGUGCCGGGGUUCCACACUCUCUUUUCCCUGAAUUUAAGCUCUGGGGACUUGGCAGCUGACAGGAGCACGCCACACUCAGGCUGUUCUCAAGGUGUUUGGGCAUCAAAGGGCGUUUUGGAGGAGUGACUCCUUGGGAGAGGUGUGGGCUGGGGGGAAGGAGAGUAGAAACGCCCUGGGAACUUGGGCCCAAGCAGCUGCAAGAGUUGGGUAGUAGUCUGGUUGGGGCUUGGCAGCAGCUUGGCGUCAAGAAGCCCCAGUCAGAAGAUAAGGCUGCCUGAGGUCCCCGAGACAUGAGGACCAAGCCUCAGGAUGAGGCCUUUGACGACGCAUGGCUUGUGGCCAAGAAGCAGCGGGAAGGCGGGCAGGCCUGGAUCUGGGCGGGGAGCGGCUGCCCCGCCUCGCCCCCAGCUCAGGGGAGUCUUUUUGUCUGUCAGCGGCGGUGGUGGCGGCAGCUGCGGUACAUCUCGGCUCCCGCGGUGGCUGACAGAGGCCAGCUGCGAGCUCCGCGCUCGAUCUAUGGGUCCAUUACCCCGCGCCCUAACCUGCCCCACGCAGACCCUGUCCCCCGGGGUCACUCGGUCUCCAUCUGGGCCAGGGCGGGUGAAUAAGCCCUUGGUUUUCUUGGGCUCCGAGGCCUAGAACGCGCGUGCCGCGUUCAAAGACGGGUCGUGAAGGGUCAUCCAGGCGCGCAGCCGGCCCUCUCCGGGCCCUCUCCGGGGCGCCCUUGACGUCGCAGCUCUGGCUGGAGGCGUCAUCCUCACCUGCAGGGCCAAGCCCGCCCUUGCCCCUAUCGUCCUUUCUCACCUAGCUGUUUCCGAGGUCCGCACUCAGCUGGGGGAGGAGGCGCCAAGAUUUGCUCCCAUCUUUGGCACAGAGGGGGACCAGUUCCGCUCAGCCUGGGCAGUCUUUCCCAGAGCUUGUGCGGGGCGGGGAGGAGGAGAGAGGGAAAAGGGACUUCCUUGGAACAGUGAGUCUCGGGGAGUAUGCGUGUGUGGGGGUGGGUGGGGGGGUGUCUGAGUAUCCUGUCGCUACCCCAUCCCAGCCCGCACAUCCCCGGGAUCGUGGUGGUUGCGCAGAGUUCUUUGUGAACCAGGUAAAGGGCCGGAAAGAAUUCACAGACCCAAGGCCCUAGAAGUAUUGAAACUAAAAUUUAAGUGUCUGAAUCGGUUUACUCUGCAUUAACGUUUUCUAAAAGAGAAAAUUCCAGAAAUGUGCGAGAUGGACGGACGCCCUGCCCCAUGCUCCUCUGCCUAGUUUCCUCCCUAAACCCCCACUUCCCUCUCCCUCCAGGAACGGAUUUUCCCUGAGCGUGGGGGGAAGAGGCCAUCCACAGCCACAGGGGGUUAUUCUGAGAAUCCCCCAAUCCCACCCCCAGUACACUUACAGAAUUCAGAGGAAUGCAUAGGGCGGGAAAUCCGGAGACUAAAGGUCAUUUAUUGAGCAGAGCAGGAAGAGGGGGGUUGAUCUGGGGCGGGCCUGGGAGAGGAACCCUCCGGAUGAGAGGCUGAGUGGGCAAGGCAGAUGAGACAUGCGGUGUCAGGGAAUGAGAAAUAAGGUGGGAGUGAUGAAGAAAGGGAGUAAGGUGAGAGAGAAGGUGGAGGGAUGAGGAAAGGGGGUGGUGAGAGGAUGUGUGAGAAAGCAUCCUUAAGUGGGAAUCUGAGGGCCUUCCCCAGGGAGUCGGAAUGUGAGGAUCUCUACAAGGGGAGGGAGCGGAGGACCCCGAAAUGUCUGAAGGGAAAAUGAGUAAUCAGAGGAGGUGGGAGAUGGGAGGGAUUUCCUGAUAAUGCUGGGAGAGGGGUGGACGGUGGUGAAGGUUCAUGGUCCAUCCAUCCGUGGAUUGCUCUGGGAAGAGCAAUCUAGGGCAGGGAGGGUUGGACAGUGGGGGUGGGAGGUAUGGCCACAAGACAUGAGCAAUGACCGGGCACUGGAGAGCUUUGGCGCUCCCAAGCUGGGGGGAAGCAUAUGAGACAGAGGAGCGUCCACCCCCCCCCCCAAGCCCAGAACACAGGUUUAAUCUCUUAAUCUCCCUCAUUAAUCACUCACCCUCCUCCUACCCGCCUCUGCGGAUUCGGUUUCUCCCCAGCUCAGGUUCCAGAGGCUUCGCUGGGAAAAGUCUCCUCCUGUGGCCCCACAAUCGUCUGGACAAGUCCCUGGCCACUGGGAUGCCCUUGUCGGGCUCUGCUGUCAGCAGCCUCCUCCCUUUCGUAGUCUCUCCUUCCCUCUCCUCCCCCAAACUCACAUCUGGGGAUCGUUCAACCCCAUUGUCCAACCCCCAUUAUCUGAGCUGGGCUGCAGGGGGGAGGAGGUAGGUGAGAGAGAUGAGGGGGAAGAAGGCAAAGGCCCUUCAGGAGAGCCCCACACUCCCCAAGAUACUCUAGUAAUUGAGAGCAGAGAAGAGAUGGCAUGACAGCUACAUAGAGGAUGCAUGAGUAAAGGUUGUAGUGUCUGUUUGGUGACAGGCCUGGGACAUGAGCUGGGCAGUUCCUGCAGCCUCCUGAGACCCUUUUUAAUUGCAGAUUAAGUGAAACCAUCAGGAUGGUUCAGUGGAUCUCUCCUGGCCCUCCCCUGCCCCCCACCAUUAAUAACCAAUUAACAAGGUCCUGAGGCAUCUCAACUUUCUUCUGUGGCUCUGAGCCAGCAGUGGCCCAUUCAGCUGAGUGUGUUGCUCAGGCUGCCAUUAGGACACCAUGCUGGGGAACUCCUACUGGAACUACAGGAGCUUAAUAAGGAGGCAGAGACAGAUCCAUUGAUUGACAGUCCGAUGGAGUAACCAGAAGGCCUUCAAUGGAGGCC